AACGAACGCUGGCGGCAUGCCUAACACAUGCAAGUCGAACGAGACCUUCGGGUCUAGUGGCGCACGGGUGCGUAACGCGUGGGAAUCUGCCCUUGGGUUCGGAAUAACUCGCCGAAAGGCGUGCUAAUACCGGAUGAUGACGUAAGUCCAAAGAUUUAUCGCCCAAGGAUGAGCCCGCGUUGGAUUAGCUAGUUGGUGAGGUAAAGGCUCACCAAGGCGACGAUCCAUAGCUGGUCUGAGAGGAUGAUCAGCCACACUGGGACUGAGACACGGCCCAGACUCCUACGGGAGGCAGCAGUGGGGAAUAUUGGACAAUGGGCGAAAGCCUGAUCCAGCAAUGCCGCGUGAGUGAUGAAGGCCUUAGGGUUGUAAAGCUCUUUUAACCGGGAUGAUAAUGACCGUACCGGGAGAAUAAGCUCCGGCUAACUCCGUG
rnacentral:rRNA from 1 species